ensembl:lncRNA
GAUACUUGUAUCCGUAACACUAUAUACAGGGUAUUACGGUACAGAGUCAAUGUGGAGGCUAUAUACAGGGUAUUACGGUACAGAGUCAAUGUGGAGACUAUAUACAGGGUAUUACGGUACAGAGUCAAUGUGGAGACUAUAUACAGGGUAUUACGGUACAGGGUCAAUAUGGAGACUAUAUACAAGGUAUUACGGUACAGAGUCAAUGUGGAGACUAUAUACAGGGUAUUACGGUACAGGGUCAAUGUGAAGGCUAUAUACAGGGGGUAUUACGGUACAGGGUCAAUGUGGAGGCUAUAUACAGGGGGUACCGGUACAGAGUCAAUGUGGAGACUAUAUACAGGGUAUUACGGUACAGGGUCAAUGUGGAGGCUAUAUACAAGGUAUUACGGUACAGGGUCAAUGUGGAGACUAUAUACAGGGGGUACCAGUACAGAGUCAAUGUGGAGACUAUAUACAGGGGGUACCGGUACAGAGUCAAUGUGGAGGCUAUAUACAGGGUGUUACGGUACAGAGUCAAUGUGGAGACUAUAUACAGGGUGUUACGGUACAGAGUCAAUGUGGAGACUAUAUACAGGGGGUACCGGUACAGAGAAUGUGUGGGGACACUGGUUAGUCGAGUUAAUAUAUAUAUGUAGGCAGAGAUAUUAAAGUGACUAUGCAUAGAGAGAGUGGCAGCAAAUAGUCUGGGUAGUCAUUUGAUUAGAUGUUCAGGAGUCUUAUGACUUGGGGGUAGAAUCUGUUUAGAAGCCUCUUGGACCUAGACUUGGCGCUCCGGUACCGCUUGCCGUGCGGUAGCAGAGAGAACUGUAGCUGUGGUUCCACUGGCAAUCCCAGCCUAGGAAUGUUGAAGCCCCCAAAGUGAAAAUGAAAAUCUUCUCCAUGGUUAAAGGGAAUGAGUUCCCCACUGAAAAAAAGGGAAGGGGGAGAAAUUAAAGUUCAUAAGUAACACAAUACUCUUAAGUGAAAGUAGUUUGGGAUUUAAUAUAUCUAUUACAUUUUUGGGGGGCCCAUGGAAGAAUAAGGCGACAAAAUGCUGUCCCACAGUUGUGAGAGUGAAUAAGUGAUGUUUUACUGAUGUGGGCCAUGUUACUUCGAUGAUCAUGGUUUUGCAUCUAACCUUCCACCUCCAGCAGCCAG